rnacentral:rRNA from 1 species
UACGUAGGUGGCAAGCGUUAUCCGGAUUUAUUGGGUGUAAAGGGCGUGUAGGCGGGAGCGCAAGUCAGGUGUGAAAACUCAGGGCUCAACCCUGAGCCUGCAUUUGAAACUGUGUUUCUUGAGUGCUGGAGAGGCAAUCGGAAUUCCGUGUGUAGCGGUGAAAUGCGUAGAUAUACGGAGGAACACCAGUGGCGAAGGCGGAUUGCUGGACAGUAACUGACGCUGAGGCGCGAAAGCGUGGGGAGCAAACAGG